AGCUUUUUGAAUCCGCGCAGGGAUUUCGUCAGACACCAACCCAUUAGGGCUGAUUAAACUUCUAAGAUGUUGUCGAAGCA
rfam:Schistosoma mansoni, Puerto Rico, WGS project CABG01000000 data, contig: 0034